UUCAACUGUAUGUACAGCUACACCAUCAAAUGUUUGCCACCAAAUUUUACUUAAAUAUGAUUUUGUGUGUAAUUGCGUUUUGCAGGAAUGCAGUGUAACAUGUUGGUGGAGGUCCAAUACCAAAAAUACAAGAAGUUCAUGAAGUUGCAGCCAGUUUUCUCUUAUGGAGAUUUUAUCUAUCAAGGAGAAUAUAUGAACUGUCUGAUGUAUAUUCUUAAUUGAACCCUUGGGCUUGAUUUGGGUCAGACCCAUUCUGUUGCCCCCUAGGUGGCUUAUCUCUAUGUAUUCUGAUUGGUCUAUCUUUUUUGUAGUACAAAAUAGGUUUGGACUGCCCUCUGCAGCACAAAUAUAAUUGUUUUAAUGAUUCCUAAACUGAGGAGGAUGUCCUGCUGGACCUGAUUGUGAGGCACAGGUCUGGAUUGGCCUCAAAGAUCUACAGUCUCUCAUAAUGAUAUGAAAUAACAUGAAUGUAUAGAUUGAUUGCUUUGAUCGGUUUGUGCUCAGUCUUUUCUCCUGCAGGCUGUUAUACACCUAGUUCCUCCACAGACACAUUAUCCUUCUAACGUUAUUUAGACCUGAGAUCUCUAGAAAGGCCGUCUAAAAAAGCCAGGACAACCUUAAGAGAUGAGGCCAUCGACUCCACAGCAGCGAAAGAGAUGGUCCGAGACGCCCUGACUAGUAGACCUGGUGGGCAAGAUGUAUUAGAAGAGUACCAGACAACCAAAACAUUGGACCACAGAAGAGAGUUGAUUGCCAUCUUAGUCAGCCACAAUCCUGCAACGAUAAGCUUCUCCUUAGCCAAUCCGGCCACACACAGUGGAUCAAAACAAUCAAACUAUACAUGAAUGUUAUUUGGUAUCAUUAUGAGACUGUAGAAAAAUCCAGUACAACUUUCGUUAAACAUAUUUGGCGUGUGUAUGCUUUACUGUUUUUGAGCAGGAGACUUCCCACUCGCCAACAGAGAGAACGUUAUGCUCUUGGAAUUGUCACCCUCUUUCCUUCGUAUUGCUUUAAUAUUUUGACACUUGACCUCGCGUCGAACCAUCAAGAAGAGAUUCCACCCCAGUCGGAAGGCCCAACCCAUAGGAGGAAGACCUGGCCCACCAGCUUGUUGGUGAUGCUUGCAAGGAGGCCAUGUCAUUCCCUGUCCACUCGGCUGAUGAAAAACAAGUCUAUCAGAAGAUGGAGGUGUUCCAGUAUCGUCAGGAGCUAGUUUAUAGUCCAGACAGAAGCACAGAUGUCCUCAGUCUUUCCCAGGUUUCUGGACAUCAAAGGAUUGGAUAGUGAUGUAGUAUGUGUUGGAAUCAGAAGUAAAGACUAGUUAUCUGAUUGAGAACAUGUGUUGUGUCAUUGAGAACAUGAAGUUGAAAUGCUCCACUUUGUUUUAGUUGAAUCGGGACUUUUUGCUGAUGUUCAAUGAUGAAACGUCCUCUAAACUCCUUGAAAAGUGGGACACUGUAUUGAAGCCUAAAGUCAUUAAACUGGCAAAAUCCCUGA